rnacentral:rRNA from 1 species
GACGAACGCUGGCGGCGUGCUUAACACAUGCAAGUCGAACGGAAAGGCCCUGCUUUUGUGGGGUGCUCGAGUGGCGAACGGGUGAGUAACACGUGAGUAACCUGCCCUUGACUUUGGGAUAACUUCAGGAAACUGGGGCUAAUACCGGAUAGGAGCUCCUGCUGCAUGGUGGGGGUUGGAAAGUUUCGGCGGUUGGGGAUGGACUCGCGGCUUAUCAGCUUGUUGGUGGGGUAGUGGCUUACCAGGGCUUUGACGGGUAGCCGGCCUGAGAGGGUGACCGGCCACAUUGGGACUGAGAUACGGCCCAGACUCCUACGGGAGACAGCAGUGGGGAAUAUUGCACAAUGGGCGGAAGCCUGAUGCAGCAACGCCGCGUGCGGGAUGACGGCCUUCGGGUUGUAAACCGCUUUCGCCUGUGACGAAGCGUGAGUGACGGUAAUGGGUAAAGAAGCACCGGCUAACUACGUG